rnacentral:rRNA from 1 species
GACGAACGCUGGCGGCGUGCUUAACACAUGCAAGUCGAACGGAAAGGCCCUGCUUGCAGGGUACUCGAGUGGCGAACGGGUGAGUAACACGUGGGUGAUCUGCCCUGCACUUCGGGAUAAGCCUGGGAAACUGGGUCUAAUACCGGAUAGGAGCCAUUUUUAGUGUGAUGGUUGGAAAGUUUUUUUCGGUGUAGGAUGAGCUCGCGGCCUAUCAGCUUGUUGGUGGGGUAAUGGCCUACCAAGGCGGCGACGGGUAGCCGGCCUGAGAGGGUGGACGGCCACAUUGGGACUGAGAUACGGCCCAGACUCCGACGGGAGGCAGCAGUGGGGAAUAUUGCACAAUGGGCGCAAGCCUGAUGCAGCGACGCCGCGUGGGGGAUGACGGCCUUCGGGUUGUAAACUCCUUUCGCUAGGGACGAAGCUUUUUGUGACGGUACCUAGAUAAGAAGCACCGGCUAACUACGUG